rnacentral:rRNA from 1 species
AUGGGUGACGGCGUACCUUUUGUAGAAUGGACCGGCGAGUUACGAUCCCAUGCAAGGUUAAGUGGAAGACACGGAGCCGCAGCGAAAGCGAGUCUGAAUAGGGCGAUUUGAGUAUGUGGUCGUAGACCCGAAACCGUGUGAUCUACCCAUGUCCAGGGUGAAGGUCAGGUAACACUGACUGGAGGCCCGAACCCACGUAUGUUGAAAAAUGCGGGGAUGAGGUGUGGGUAGGGGUGAAAUGCCAAUCGAACACGGAGAUAGCUGGUUCUCUCCGAAAUAGCUUUAGGGCUAGCCUCAAGGAAUGAGUACUGGAGGUAGAGCACUGAUUGGACUAGGGGCCCUCAUCGGGUUACCGAAUUCAGUCAAACUCCGAAUGCCAGCUACUUAGACUUGGGAGUCAGACUAUGGGUGAUAAGGUUCAUAGUCGAAAGGGAAACAGCCCAGACCGCCAGCUAAGGUCCCAAAGUAUACGUUAAGUGGAAAAGGAUGUGGAGUUGCCCAGACAACCAGGAUGUUGGCUUAGAAGCAGCCACCAUUUAAAGAGUGCGUAAUAGCUCACUGGUCGAGUGACUCUGCGCCGAAAAUGUACCGGGGCUAAACGUAUCACCGAAGCUGCGGAUUGUUCUUACGAACAAUGGUAGGAGAGCGUUCCAAGUGCUGUGAAGUCAGACCGUGAGGACUGGUGGAGCGCUUGGAAGUGAGAAUGCCGGUAUGAGUAGCGAAAAAAGAGUGAGAAUCUCUUUCACCGAAAGCCUAAGGUUUCCUGAGGAAGGCUCGUCCUCUCAGGGUUAGUCGGGACCUAAGCCGAGGCCGAAAGGCGUAGGCGAUGGACAACAGGUAGAUAUUCCUGUACCACCUCAUGAGCGUUUGAACGAUGGGGGGACGCAGUAGGAUAAGGAAUGCGCACCGAUGGAUGUGUGCGCCCAAGCAGUGAGAAAGUUGGAUAGGCAAAUCCGUCCAACAAUUUCAAGCUGUGAUGGGGAGGGAAAUAGAGUACCGAAGUUCCUGAUUUCACACUGCCAAGAAAAUCCUCUAGUGAGUUCAUAGGUGCCCGUACCGCAAACCGACACAGGUAGGCGAGGAGAGAAUCCUAAGGUGAGCGGGAGAACUCUCGUUAAGGAACUCGGCAAAAUGACCCCGUAACUUCGGGAGAAGGGGUGCUCCUUUAAGGAGGAGCCGCAGUGAAUAGGCCCAAGCGACUGUUUAGCAAAAACACAGGUCUCUGCGAAGCCGAAAGGCGAAGUAUAGGGGCUGACACCUGCCCGGUGCUGGAAGGUUAAGGGGAAGCGUUAGCUUACGCGAAGCGCAGAACCGAAGCCCCAGUAAACGGCGGCCGUAACUAUAACGGUCCUAAGGUAGCGAAAUUCCUUGUCGGGUAAGUUCCGACCCGCACGAAAGGUGCAACGACUUGGGCACUGUCUCAACGAGAGACCCGGUGAAAUUAUACUAUGCGUGAAGAUGCGCAUUACCCGCGACAGGACGGAAAGACCCCGUGGAGCUUUACUGUAGCCUGAUAUUGAAUGUUUGUACAGCUUGUACAGGAUAGGUGGGAGCCUUGGAAACCGGAGCGCCAGCUUCGGUGGAGGCAUCCGUGGGAUACCACCCUGGCUGUACGACCAUUCUAACCCAGGGCCGUGAUCCGGUCCGGAGACAGUGUCAGGCGGGCAGUUUGACUGGGGCGGUCGCCUCCCAAAAGGUAACGGAGGCGCCCAAAGGUUCCCUCAGAAUGGUUGGAAAUCAUUCGUAGAGUGUAAAGGCAGAAGGGAGCUUGACUGCGAGACCUACAAGUCGAGCAGGGACGAAAGUCGGGCUUAGUGAUCCGGUGGUUCCGCAUGGAAGGGCCAUCGCUCAACGGAUAAAAGCUACCCCGGGGAUAACAGGCUUAUCUCCCCCAAGAGUUCACAUCGACGGGGAGGUUUGGCACCUCGAUGUCGGCUCAUCGCAUCCUGGGGCUGUAGUCGGUCCCAAGGGUUGGGCUGUUCGCCCAUUAAAGCGGUACGCGAGCUGGGUUCAGAACGUCGUGAGACAGUUCGGUCCCUAUCCGUCGUGGGCGUUGGAAGUUUGAGAGGAGCUGUCCUUAGUACGAGAGGACCGGGAUGGACACACCGCUGGUGUACCAGUUGUUCCGCCAGGAGCAUAGCUGGGUAGCUACGUGUGGCAAGGAUAAGUGCUGAAAGCAUCUAAGCAUGAAGCCCCCCUCAAGAUGAGACUUCCCAUCACUUCGAGUGAGUAAGAUCCCUCAGAGACGAUGAGGUUGAUAGGUCCGAGGUGGAAGCGUGGUGACACGUGGAGCUGACGGAUACUAAUAGAUCGAGGACUUAACUAAUUU